rnacentral:lncRNA from 1 species
GAUGUUAUGAUAUAGGUUUAUUAAAUUGAAGGAAAUCGGCAAAAGUUGGCGAAAUUGGAUGAAAGGACCAAGUUGUGAGAGAUCCAAAGUUCGGGGACUAAAAUGCAAUUAAUCAAAAGUUGUGUCGAACCUUGCAAUGAAGAUUUGAGAGUGUUGGGGAGUCAAUUGGAUGAAGAAAGAUGUCAAAGGGGUCAAAUUUAGUCAAAAUAUGAUCACAAAUCAAUUUCCAACCAACAAGUUAUGCUUCGGAGUUUUAGCCUCAUAUUGAGAUCCAUUUUUGACAUAGCAAACGAUUGAAUUGGAGAAUGAUGCCUGAAGCAAAGUUGUAACCCUUUGAAUUAGUUUUCCAACGCAUCUUGAAUCACUUCAAUC